AUACGUAGGGUGCGAGCGUUAAUCGGAAUUACUGGGCGUAAAGCGUGCGCAGGCGGUUUUUGAAGACAGUGGGGAAAUCCCCGGGGUCAACCUGGGAACUGCCAUUGUGACUGCAAGGCUGGGGUUCGGCAGAGGGGGGUGGAAUUCCGCGUGUCGCAGGGAAAUGCGUAGAUAUGCGGAGGAACACCGAUGGCGAAGGCAAUCCCCUGGGCCUGCACUGACGCUCAUGCACGAAAGCGUGGGGAGCAAACAGGAUUAGAUACCCUGGUAGUCCACGCCCUAAACGAUGUCAACUGGUUGUUGGGAAUUUAUUUUCUCAGUAACGAAGCUAACGCGUGAAGUUGACCGCCUGGGGAGUACGGCCGCAAGGUUAAAACUUAAAGGAAUUGGCGGGG
rnacentral:rRNA from 1 species